CUCCAAUAUAGAUGUAUUGAAAUGUUCCUUCACUUAAAAGAGCUUAUUUAUCAUAGAAUUAAUUCCUUACAAUCUUAAAAGUAUCAGUCACGUUUAUUACCUAUAGCGUGGGAAUGACAGCGGGUAUUCAAGAACCAUCUUGAUUAGGGAGCUUCAAAGAGAUGUUAUCACCUUAAACAUUUGGCCAUUCUUAUUUGAAAGAAGAUCAAAGAUGGAAGACAGCUGUUACGACAAGAGCAACUUCAUUUACAUUAAGAGGACAGUAACAGGAUAAAAGGUUUAAGAUUUGAAUGUUCUGGGUUCAUUCUGACGCCAGUGAACCCAAGGUGCUUCGUGUCCCUUGCCACUGCUAUGCUGUAAUAAACUUCAUUUUUGAGAUCUUC